UGGGGAAUAUUGGACAAUGGGGGGAACCCUGAUCCAGCCAUGCCGCGUGUGUGAAGAAGGCCUUAUGGUUGUAAAGCACUUUAAGCGAGGAGGAGGGUACUGGUAUUACUACUACCAGGUACUGGACGUUACUCGCAGAAUAAGCACCGGCUAACUCUGUGCCAGCAGCCGCGGUAAUACAGAGGGUGCGAGCGUUAAUCGGAUUUACUGGGCGUAAAGCGUGCGUAGGCGGCUAAUUGAGUCGGAUGUGAAAUCCCCGAGCUUAACUUGGGAAUUGCAUUCGAUACUGGUUAGCUAGAGUGUGGGAGAGGAUGGUAGAAUUCCAGGUGUAGCGGUGAAAUGCGUAGAGAUCUGGAGGAAUACCGAUGGCGAAGGCAGCCAUCUGGCCUAACACUGACGCUGAGGUACGAAAGCAUGGGGAGCAAACAGG
rnacentral:rRNA from 1 species